rnacentral:lncRNA from 10 species
CAGAUUCAGAAGAGGAGCUGACUGGCCUCUGGCAAGCCCAAGCUGGAUUACCAGCUGCGGAGGCAGAGGUGCCUGAGGUUUCCCAGCCCCCAGGCCAGAGGAGGCUGCUACACCCACUUCCCCCACGAAGCUGGGGCCCAGGCCAGAGAGAGAGCCCCAAAGCUGGUUUGGGGGCGGGGAGCUUCCCUACAGGCCCUGGAGCCCCAUAGGCCCCAAGACAAAGCAAGAGGAAUGAGAGGAAGCACAGCCGGGUCAAAGCUCCGAGCCACGAGUACUGAGGCAGGUGGUGGUACCCAGACCCCCUCUCCAUAGCUCCCAUGAGAGCACAAGGCGGAGGAGAGGACAGACUCCUGGCCUGAGGGGCCAAGCACCAGCUUCUCAGCCAGCUCUGCCACUGACUUGCUGCUUGGCAAGUCACUUAACUGUUCCAAGCCUCAGUUUUCACUUCUGGAAAUGGGGAUAUGACCCCCUGCCUGCCCCCUCAUGCUGGCAUAAGAAUCAAUGACCUGUGACAGGACUUUGUAAAUUAUAAGUUGGUAUUAGUUAGGCCUCUUUAGUCACAAAUGUGAGAAACUGACAUUAAAUGAGGCAAUGCAAAAGGGGGAUUCACCAGCUCAGAGGCCCAAGACCCAGGGCAGGGAGAGGAGGCGCUGUCAUUCCCUCUCACCCCUGCAUCUCUCUGCAAGUCAGUCUCUUCUUCCGCAAGCCUGGAGCCAACUUCACCUCCUAAGAGGAGCUUCUCUGCUCUGUCACUACCAACUUGAACAACCACAGGGAGGGCCCUGAAUUGUGUCACAUGUCCACCCAUGGCUGUGAGACACUAUCUUAUGCAGCUUCUUCUGGAAGCUUCUUAUUUUGAUUGUUGGCAUCAGCAUUAUAAGUUUGCCACAUUUUCCUGAUUCCUAUCCUCCUUGGACAAAAUAACAUAGGGGCUAAGGGCACAGGCUCUGGAACCCAGAUUACCUGGAUUCAAGUUCUGGUUCUGCCAUUUUCUCACUGUGUAACGUUGGGCAAGUCGCUUAACUUCUCUGCACCUCAGUUCAUAAAUCUGUGAAAACUAAAUGAGUUGAUACAUGGGAAGUAUGAACAAUUGUGCCUGGUGCCGGCCAGGGGUUCAACAAAUGUUAAUCAUUAUUAUUGUCGGAGAAUGAAGGGGCAGUGCCUGGGAAUCCCAGGAUGAGAGACAGCCUGAAGAAAAACCAUCCUGCUCCACCUACUCCUCAACCUUCUUCCGGGGAGAGCUGACAACUGCAGGAGCUAUGGCUCAACAAAGAUGUACAGAGCUAUGCAGUAAGCCCUGAGAAUUACAAAACUUGACAGACAAAGUCGCUUUUUCUCCAGAAGCUCAUUGCCAAGUAAGGGAGAUAGAAGCAUGAAGAGAUCAUUUCUAUCCUGUGCUGGAUAGAAGCGUGUGUAUGUCUCUGUGGGAAGCCACAGUGGGACAACUGGUCCAGAGAGAGCUGCCUGGAAGAAAUGACACCUGAGCUAAGGCCUGGAGCAGGGGCAAGAGCUUGCCAAGCAAGGAAAGGAGGGCAGGGCGUUGUGCUGUCCAUUGGCUAUUCAGUCUCGGCUCCAGAUCUCCACUUGUCAGGUUGGCGCUACUGGGGCUUGAUCUGUGCAAAUUACAUGUCCCCAGGUCAGCUGGUUCUGGCAGGUUCUUCCAAUAGGGGGCACUAGGAGACUGAGGUCAGGAGGAGAGAAGGCACUUGCUCUUUUGUGCUUGCUUGCUUCUCCCCAGCAAGCUUUUUGCCGCAGAAGCAUCCACUGAAGCCUCCAGCUUUCUUCAGCCUCAGCAGCUGGAAGCCAUGUGAAGCAGCUGACAAACAGCUGGAGGCUGAGAUGCCUGCUGUGGGGGGAGCAACAGUUUAAACCAGUGAGCAUGUAGCAUCGGAAAGCUUCCCGAUGGAUGAUAGGUAAGGUCGGGUAUGCAGAUGGCCUUCCUGUGCAGGGCUGGGGACCAGAAAGAGGCAGCUAGGGGCAGGGGCCAGCCCCAGGGCAGGUUCAGAACCAAGACCCCAUGUUGUGGGAGAAUGGGGCCCAUCAGGUGGGGCCUGGGCCCAGGGAGCUCUGGUGCAGAUGCA